rnacentral:lncRNA from 1 species
UUUAGGCUAUGAGGCUUCCCUUGGUGAUGUUAACAUUAUAGUUGGCGGGGCCUUCGGAGUGGUCGGUCAUUCCAGUGUCGGGAUAUAAUAGGAUAUGCAUCUCUUUUCAUGACUGCAUGGUUCAGUUCUAUGAGUGCCUGUUUACAAGGAUAGGACUUUGGCUACCCUUUCCCAAAUUCGAGAUAGAUGUCCUUAAACAUUUGAAGAUUAC